GCAGUCGCGCAAGCGCGAGCGGCUGUGCGCGGUGCGUGGUGCGUGAGCCCCCAGCGCAGGCCGGGAUGUUCGUCCUGGUGGAAAUGGUGGACACCGUCCGGAUCCCCCCUUGGCAGUUUGAGAGGAAGCUCAACGACUCCAUUGCCGAGGAGCUGAACAAGAAGUUGGCCAACAAGGUCGUGUACAACGUGGGACUCUGCAUUUGUCUGUUUGAUAUCACCAAACUGGAGGAUGCCUAUGUAUUCCCUGGGGAUGGCGCAUCACACACCAAAGGGUGAGAGGUCCAUCGGCUGCCUCUCCUCAUGCCCUGCUGAUGCCAGGGUCCCUGCCGUCCUGGGGGGCAUGUUGGCCGACUAAAUGGUUGACGGCAUCGUGGAAGCCUGUGUUUGGGAUUAAACCUGUCUGAGGAAGGCAAGAUUCGACCCGGUGGCCCUGUCUGGUGGGUACAGAAAGACCAGGUGUCUCCCCAUGGCUAUGUGGCUGUGAGUGGGUCACCCUGGCUCUGAGCCACUGCCUUAUCCUCACGGUGGGAACUCUGUUGGUAACCAGCAGGGGGCAGCCGCGUGCUGAUUCUCAGGUCAGCGUUGGACUCCUACUUUGGGGCUUCGAGCAAGGGCCUGAGUGACAAGGUGACAUACAGCUAAUGCCAGGGCCUGGGGUCAGAGUGUGCGAUGUGGGCACAGACCCCACCUGGUGUUUUCCUUGCAGUCAGGUGAGUGGGGACCACCUGCAGCAUGGCCUGAGAACCCACAGAGGCAUUUUUGCUGGGCUGCUGGCCUGCGCCUCACAACACCAGGGCAUUUUUAGCCUCCUCUCCAGGUCAGAGCUGUGCCUGGGGCCGACUUUGCUGCUCAGCAGGAGGUGGGAGUUUCCAAACCCUGCGUUCUUUACCAGUUGCUUCUGCCCUUUUUAGGAGCUGAAGGAGAGCCUGGAGGGAGGUUGAAAUUGACUUUGGAGCCACUGAUGGCUCAGAAUCUGGGCUCAGGUGUGAGUAACCUGGCAGUUUUGGGAGUGCCCAGUUACAGGACAGCUGCUGCUGCCCCCCUGUGGGGGCCAUGCUGUGAACUUGCAGGAGACAAAGGGAGGGUCUAGGCUUGCAGGGGGAUGUGGCAUGGAGCAGCCACACAGGCCCCCAGGUGUGCUGGCACCUGAGGGUGACAUGGGAGCGCACUGGGGCCCCGGUCAGCAUCACUGAUGGGCUGUCUUCAUUUCCAGUCCAUUUUCGCUGCGUGGUGUUUCAUCCAUUCCUAGAUGAGAUUCUCAUUGGGAAGAUCAAAGGCUGCAGCCCAGAAGGAGUGCACGUCUCUCUAGGCUUCUUCGAUGACAUUCUCAUCCCCCCAG
rnacentral:lncRNA from 10 species